rnacentral:rRNA from 1 species
AAUGAACGCUGGCGGCAGGCCUAACACAUGCAAGUCGAACGGAUCCUUCGGGAUUAGUGGCGGACGGGUGAGUAACGCGUGGGAACGUGCCCUUUGGUUCGGAAUAGCCUCGGGAAACUGGGAGUAAUACCGGAUAAGCCCUUCGGGGGAAAGAUUUAUCGCCAAAGGAUCGGCCCGCGUUGGAUUAGGUAGUUGGUGAGGUAAUGGCCUACCAAGCCGACGAUCCAUAGCUGGUUUGAGAGGAUGAUCAGCCACACUGGGACUGAGACACGGCCCAGACUCCUACGGGAGGCAGCAGUGGGGAAUCUUAGACAAUGGGGGAAACCCUGAUCUAGCCAUGCCGCGUGAUCGAUGAAGGCCUUAGGGUUGUAAGGAUCUUUCAGUUGGGAAGAUAAUGACGGUACCAACAGAAGAAGCCCCGGCUAACUCCGUGCCAGCCGCCGCGGUAAGAC